rnacentral:lncRNA from 1 species
UUUUGGACUCAGCCCACUUGCAUCCAGGUGAUUAAAAAGCUUCACUGCUCACACAAAGUCUGUUUGGUGGUCUCUUCACAUGGACGUGCGUGAAAUUUGGUGCCAUGACUCGGAUCGGGGGACCUCCCUUGGGAGAUUAAUCCCCUGUCCUCCUGCUCUUUGCUCCCUGAGAAAGAUCCACCUACGACCUCAGGUCCUCAGACCAACCAGCCCAAGGAACAUCACACCAAUUUUAAAUGGGAAGACAGGAAUGUCAGGCCUCUGGGCGCAAGCUAAGCCAUCAUAUUUCCUGUGACCUGCACGUGUACAUCCAGAUGGCCUGAAGUAACUGAAGAAUCACAAAAGAAGGGAAAAAGGCCAGUUCCUGCCUUAACUGAUGACAUUACCUUGUGAAAUUCCUUCUCCUGGCUCAGAAGCUCCCCCACUGAGAACCUUGUGACCUCCGCCCCUGCCCCCAGGUGAUUAAAAAGCUUUAUUGCUCACACGAAGCCUGUUUGGUGGUCUCUUCACAUGGAUGCAUGUGAAAGUUUAGAUGACCUUUUGGAAUUCUGACUUGAACUUGCGUAUUGUCUCUUAUGAGAGAAGAAACCUUUGAAAAGUGGCAUGUAUUUUGGUCUGAGAGGAAAAGCGUAAUGGGAUACAGGUUGGACACACUAAAUUCAUUGAACUUCAAUUCAAAAGCUCAAUUAUAUAGCUUGUAUAUAUUGAUUUAUUGUUAGGUAAAAAAUGGAGAAAAAGUAAAGGCAUCAAAAUGGAGAUGUCAUUGAAGUCAUAUAGCAGUUUGAGUGGGAGUUCUUUAUCAAUCAAAGUUUCACAGAAUAAAAGAUUAUGAUUGGAGAUUUGGAAGUUUGAGUUAGUAGUCUCAGAGGUGUGAUAAUUUUGAGAUGACUUGGUUCAUGGCUUAUCAUUGACCCUCAGUAUAAAUUUGAUGAUGUUAAUUAGUGAAAGAAUGUAAAAGUGAGAAGAAACUUGGCAGAAUUUUGAGCAAUUACAACCUAAAAUUGAUAAUAGAGGAG